AAGGCCGCACGAACGAGCGAUUAACGAAAACGCGAAAGAUAACGACUCGGUUCGGCGGCGGCCGUAUUAUUUCUUCGCUGUAAACCGCGUCCUUCUCUCCCGGUGGCGGCCAGAUUUAACGGUAGAAAAGCGUGCCGGAACGUGCUUCCCUCGGGCGCCCGCAGUUCGCGUGUUCUUCCUACUCCCCAGAAAAAGUGCGAGCAGAAGACGACGGUGCGUGAUGUGUUGUGUGUGAAAUCGUUUGCGGAAGAAGGACCAGGAGGGUGGAAGUAUGGUAGUGGCGCAGAGCGAACGCAUUUCCUGGCAUUCCGGUGCAUGGUUCUUCCGGGGUGCACCCGCUUCGACGGUCGCAAAAGCGUGAGAAAAGCGGGUUUCUGAUUGCGGGGCAGCGACGCAACGUUUUGAAGAAUCGAGUCACCGUACCAGAACGGAAUCAUGGACACGGCAAACCGGAACCAUCGUUGCCCUCUUCGUCGUCGUCGUCGCGUCAACCGUGCGUAGGUUGUGCGGCCAGUCCUUAACGAGAACCGCGUCGGCGAGUCGGGUAGCCAUAAAAGUUGCUGCUGUUGCUGUGGCUGCGAAUGUGUCGUCGUUCACCGUCGUCGCCGUCGCCGUGAUCAAGUGUAAUUCUGCUUCUGGUGCCGUUCCAGUCGGUGGCGUCGAUCGGGUCCGGGGGGUCACAGGCCAUCGCUCAGAACCACCCAAGGAUCGCGAGCGCGCGCGUGCUUCGUGCACAGCACUUUCAACGGGCACAAUCAACGGCAUUGUAUCGGGGGAUGCGAUUGUGCUGCUUGUUCUAGGGAACGGUUGCGUAGAAACGAUUCGCUCGCGGAAACGACUGGAACAUUCCCGGGGAACAGAUCUUCCUCAAAACGGGCAUCAUUCGCGAAAGUGGACACUUCCUAAACGGUUCUCCUUCAUCCUAAGGUCAACCGAUUGGCUAAAUCUUUCCAAACGAGAAAAACAAUCAACAAAUACAUACUGAAGUGGCGAAUACAGUCCGGAUCAUCCUCUGCCUACCUUAACGAGAUUAUAAUCAUAUUGAGCUUCUGACAGGAGUGAUUCAACUUUAUUUUCGACUAUCAAUCUACAAAAACCUGCAUGGAAAUCGAUUUAAAG